AUUGAACGCUGGCGGCAUGCGUAACACAUGCAAGUCGAACGGUGUUUGGUGCUUGCACCAGACAUAGUGGCGGACGGGUGAGUAAUGCGUAGGAAUCUGUCUUAGAGAGGGGGACAACCCGAGGAAACUUGGGCUAAAACCGCAUAUUCUCGAGAGAGGAAAGCAGGGGACCGGAAACGGCCUUGUGCUCUAAGGUGAGCCUACGUCGGAUUAGCUAGUUGGUAGGGUAAAAAGCCUACCAAGGCGAUGAUCUGUAGCUGGUCUGAGAGGACGGACAGCCACACUGGGGACUGAGACACGGCCCAGACUCCUACGGGAGGCAGCAGUGGGGAAUAUUGGACAAUGGGGGAACCCUGAUCCAGCGAUGCCGCGUGUGUGAAGAAGGCCUGCGGGUUGUAAAGCACUUUCAGUGGGAAAGAGAAGCGUCUUGUGAAUAAUGGGACGUGGAGACGUUACUCACAGAAGAAGACACCGGCUAACUCUGUGCCAGCAGCCGCGGUAAU
rnacentral:rRNA from 1 species